AGAAAACUAACUGAAAAACGAGAACCUACUGUAUGGUUAGUAAUUUCUUCCAUGUCAUACAAGUAUUCGAGAAAUCUGCUACCUUGAUUAGUAAGACUGAACACAUUGGUUUUGUCAUUUAUUCAUGGAGGAAGUCCACCACCCACUUGGGGAGCAGAAGGAAAUUUGCCAUCUCAAUUUACUUAUCAGAAGUUUCUUUGCAGAAAUAUGAUUGUCCCUUCAGUGGGACAUCAUUUGUGGUCUUCUCUCUCUUUUUGAUCUGUGCAAUGGCUGGAGAUGUAGUCUACGCUGACAUCAAAACUGUUCGGACUUCCCCGUUAGAACUCGCGUUUCCACUUCAGAGAUCUGUUUCUUUCAACUUUUCUACUGUCCAUAAAUCAUGUCCUGCCAAAGACUGGAAGGUGCAUAAGGGAAAAUGUUACUGGAUUGCUGAAACUAAGAAAUCUUGGAACAAAAGUCAAAAUGACUGUGCCAUAAACAAUUCAUAUCUCAUGGUGAUUCAAGACAUUACUGCUAUGAAAUCCAAUCUUUUUUGACAUAUGCAUAUAGAAGUUCCUAGACUUCAGUGCUGAGGAGACAGAGGCUACAGGCAUCCAUAUGUCUGUCUCUGGGGUCUUCUUAGGAAGAGGCCUCUGAUGAAGAGAACAAAGCUCUUGUUUGAUAUCCCAGCUUGAGCAAGAGGAAUGGGACAAGUUCGUGGCAGCCACCAGCCGCCAGGAGAUGGCUGAAGUAGACAAUCAAUUUCCAGGUUAUUGGGAAAUUCAAGACCAAUCAAUAGAAUUAUCUGGAGAUAAACUCUCUGGGACAGUGUUCAUCAAGUUGCAGUGCCCUGUUUGAGUCCGAGUUAGUGUUAGUCGGAGAUACAGUGAAGUCUAAGGAGGAUGAGGAAGAGUGAUUGGUGAUAGCAGAUAAAAGAAAAAUGAAUCAGUGGGAUAAAUGGAGAUGACCAAGUUUGGCGAGAAGACAAUACUAUGAGAGAAGGUGUCCAGAGACAGAGUGAGACACAGAUAUAGGAACAGGAUCCUGGGCCUUCCUGCUCCAGGAAAAGCAUGGAAAAGGCAAGUUGUGAGGGCAGAAGACAGUCCCACAAGAACAUGAAAUUCAGUCAUGCAAAGGGCUGGGAAGGCAGAAACACAGUGGUGAGAGUGAGCCAGAAAGGAGAUGUGGGGAGCAAGGACUCAUGGCAGAGAAGGCCCUGGUAACCAAGAUAAGAAAGUCAACUGUGAAGGUGAACUAAGAACACAUGAUGGAUGAGUGGAAACCAGGGGCCAGAAAGUCUUUGAAGGCAGAAGAUACAAGGCAAUUUGUGGGCAGGAGGGAAAAAAGUAGUGAAAAUGUGCAGGCCAAUGUGAGAGGGGCCUGUGAUGGCAGAGAGGAGGCCAAUGAUGUGAGUAAAAGGAGCACUGCAGGAACCGGACCCAGUGUGACGUUAUGAGAAAAUGAGAAAAACUGAGAUGGUGAGGGAGAGUCAGAGCCAAUAUCGGAACCAAUGAUGAAAGGCCUCCAAAGAGAGGUCAGGAUAAGAAGACAGAAUAAAGGCGAGAACUGGAGAGAGCUCAGCAGUGGGUGGGGAUGGCAACUGGACCUCUGGAGUGUCAGCUGGGAGAGUGGAUGCUGGAGGUAGAGGAGGAAAAACCCAAAAAUUUGUGAAUGAGAGCUAGACCUGUGUGGUAAAAGCUUCCAAUACUUCUUCCCACACAGAGGGCUGCCUUCAGUGCAUACAUCAGGUCACUGAGGUAGGACAAGUUAAGACAAUCUUUUUAUUUUAUAGCUAUUAUGAAUGCCUAGGGACUCCAAAGAGAAACUUUGUAUAGUAACACCCAGUACAAAGUAUGUAAUCCAGGAAGUGACCAGCCCGAUGUGUGCUAUGACCCCUUUGAACCUCCCAUGAUCACAGUCCUUGAAGUAAGACUAAGAACUAGUCGUUCUCUAAGUGACGCAAGUAAAGUAAUAGCUAGAACAGAAGAAAAGGGGUCCCCAAAAAUGUAACCUUAAAAUUUGAUGCCUGUGCUGCUAUUAAUAGUAAACAGCAUAGGUUAAGAUGCGGUUCUCUAGAUUAGAAAAAAAGUUACGCAGCAGAAAAUAAGUACAUCUGUCAAGAAUCAUAUUUAUGUGAGAUGUGUCAAUACUGGUCUUGUGUCAUUCAUUUAGGCUACUUAGAAAGAAGAUAAAAAAGAUCCUGUUUGGCUCCAAAAAAGGAAAAGUCAGCCCCUCCUGCAUGAGGAGGAGCUGCAGCCCUUUAGAAUUGAUAAUCACAAAUCCCUCAGACCCAAAGUAGAAUAAAGGAAAAUAUGUAACAUUAGACAUUGAUAGAAAAGGACUAGAUCCUAGUGUAAAUAUCCUAAUAGAAGGAGAGGUUCAAAGAUGCUCUCCAGAACCAGUAUUUCAGACUUUCUAUGAUAAACUAAAUGUGCCAGUACCAGAGACUCCAGGAAAAACCGGAAAUUUGUUUUUGCAGUUAGCCAAGCAUGUAGCCCAGUCUCUAAAUGUCACUUCAUGUUAUGUUUGUAGAAAAACUGUAAUAAGAGAUCAAUGGCCAUAAGUAGCCCGAGAAUUAGUUCCUACAGACCCAGUUCCUGAUGAAUUUCCAGCCCAAAAGAACCACCCUGACAAUUUUUAAGUUCUAAAAGUCUCAAUUAUUAGACAGUAUUGUAUAGCUAGAGAAGGAAAAGGAUUCACUCAUCCUGUAAGGCAGCUUAGUUGUCUUAGGCAAAAGCUGUAUAAUGAUACCACAAAAACAGUUACAUGGUGGAGUUCCAAUUACACAGAAAGAAAUCCAUUCAGUAAAUUUCCAAAGCUGCAGGCUGUUUAGGCCCACCCAGAAUUCCACCAGGACUGGAUGGCCCCCACUGGGUUAUACUGGAUAUGUGGACACAGAGCUUAUGCUAAGCUGCCUGAUCAGUGGACAGGUAGCUGUGUAAUUGGCACCAUUAAGCCAUCUUUCUUCUUACUGCCCAUAAAAACAGGUGAACUUCUGGGCUUCCCAGUCUGUGCUUCCCGUGAAAAAAGAAGCAUAGCCAUAGGUGAUUAGAAAGAUAAUGAAUGGCCUCCUGAAAAAAUCAUACAAUACUAUGGACCCACCACUUAUGCACAAGAUGGCUCAUGAAGAUAUCAAACCCCCAUCUACAUGCUCAACCGAAUCAUACAGUUACAAGCUGUUUUAGAAAUUAUUACUAAUAAAACCAGUUGAGCUUUGACUGUUUUUGCCUGGCAAGAGACUCUUAUGAAGAAAUGCUAUCUAUCAAAUAGAUUGGCUCUCGACUACUUGCUAGCAGCUAAAAGAGAGGUCUAUAAGAAAUUUAACCUUACUAAUUACUGUCUACACAUAGAUAAUCAAAGGCAAGUAGUUAAAGACAUAGUUAAAGAUAUAACAAAACUGGCACAUGUACCCGUGCAAGUGUGGCACGGACUCAAUCCAAGAGCCAUGUUUGGAAAUUGGUUCCCAGCAAUAAGAAGAUUUAAAACUCUUCCAAUAAGAGUAAUAAUAGUAAUAGGAACUUGCUUACUGCUCCCUUGUCUGACACCUGUAUUUCUCCAAAUGGUAAAAAACUUUGUCGCUACCUUAGUUCACCAAAAUGCUUCAGCACAAGCAUACUAUAUAAAUCACUAUCGAUCUAUUGCACAAAAAGACAUAAGUAGCAAAAAUAAGAGUGAGAACUUCCCCUAAUAAAAAGUGAGAGUCUCAAAUGGGGGAAAUGAGGGAAGAGAGAGACCCUCUCAUAUUGUUUUAUAUUGUUUUAUACUCAGUACCUGUUUUAAGAAAAAAACAACAAGAAAGUAAAACCAAAGACAGGCAGCCCAGCACCAGGCCCGAAACCAGGCCUGGGCCUGCCUGGCCUAAACCAGAUUUCAUUUGUAGAUUGCAUUGUUCAUGCUUGGCUAAAGCAGAACAGUAUUAUGGUGCAACAGGCACUAAAAAGAACUAUAGGAAGAUGUGAGUUUGGAGGAGUACAUGGGAGCCUCAUCAUAUAGUAACUUGUGAACCACAGGGAAACCUUCACGUUUUACUGAGUGAGAUAGGUAGUUGAAAAUUAGUUAAAAAUCAACUCAUAACUUAGAAACCGAUGUUAUUCAUAGAUUCCAGACAUUGUAUAGAAGAACAUUGUGAAACUCCCUGCCCUGUUCUGUUUCUCUCUGACCACCGGUGCAUGCAGUCCCUAUCAUGUACCACCUGCUUGCUCAAAUCAAUCACGACCCUUUCAUGUGAAAUCUUUAGUGUUGUGAGCCCUUAAAAGGAACAGAAAUUGUGCAUUCGGGGAGCUCAGAUUUUGAGGCAGUAGCUUGCCGAUGCUCCCAGAUGAAUAAAGUCCUUCCUUCUCCAA